GACGAACCGUGCGAACGUUGUUCGGAAUCACUGGGCUUAAAGGGCGCGUAGGCGGCUUGCCAAGUCAGUGGUGAAAUCCCACAGCUUAACUGUGGAAGUGCCUUUGAUACUGGCGAGCUCGAGGGAGGUAGGGGUAUGUGGAACUUCUGGUGGAGCGGUGAAAUGCGUUGAUACCAGAAGGAACGCCGGUGGCGAAAGCGACGUACUGGACCUCUUCUGACGCUGAGGCGCGAAAGCUAGGGGAGCAAACGGG
rnacentral:rRNA from 1 species